rnacentral:rRNA from 1 species
AGAGUUUGAUCCUGGCUCAGAACGAACGCUGGCGGCAUGCCUAACACAUGCAAGUCGAACGAAGUCUUCGGACUUAGUGGCGCACGGGUGCGUAACGCGUGGGAAUCUGCCCUUGGGUACGGAAUAACUUCUCGAAAGGGAUGCUAAUACCGCAUAAUGUCGUAAGACCAAAGAUUUAUCGCCCAAGGAUGAGCCCGCGUAAGAUUAGCUAGUUGGUGGGGUAAAAGCCUACCAAGGCGACGAUCUUUAGCUGGUCUGAGAGGAUGAUCAGCCACACUGGGACUGAGACACGGCCCAGACUCCUACGGGAGGGCAGCAGUGGGGAAUAUUGGACAAUGGGCGAAAGCCUGAUCCAGCAAUGCCGCGUGAGUGAUGAAGGCCUUAGGGUUGUAAAGCUCUUUUACCCGAGAUGAUAAUGACAGUAUCGGGAGAAUAAGCUCCGGCUAACUCCGUG